rnacentral:rRNA from 1 species
UUCUAAUAAUGCAGUCGAGCGGACAGAUGGGAGCUUGCUCCCUGAUGUUAGCGGCGGACGGGUGAGUAACACGUGGGUAACCUGCCUGUAAGACUGGGAUAACUCCGGGAAACCGGGGCUAAUACCGGAUGGUUGUUUGAACCGCAUGGUUCAAACAUAAAAGGUGGCUUCGGCUACCACUUACAGAUGGACCCACGGCGCAUUAGCUAGUUGGUGAGGUAACGGCUCACCAAGGCAACGAUGCGUAGCCGACCUGAGAGGGUGAUCGGCCACACUGGGACUGAGACACGGCCCAGACUCCUACGGGAGGCAGCAGUAGGGAAUCUUCCGCAAUGGACGAAAGUCUGACGGAGCAACGCCGCGUGAGUGAUGAAGGUUUUCGGAUCGUAAAGCUCUGUUGUUAGGGAAGAACAAGUACCGUUCGAAUAGGGCGGUACCUUGACGGUACCUAACCAGAAAGCCACGGCUAACUACGUGCCAGCAGCCGCGGUAAUACGUAGGUGGCAAGCGUUGUCCGGAAUUAUUGGGCGUAAAGGGCUCGCAGGCGGUUUCUUAAGUCUGAUGUGAAAGCCCCCGGCUCAACCGGGGAGGGUCAUUGGAAACUGGGGAACUUGAGUGCAGAAGAGGAGAGUGGAAUUCCACGUGUAGCGGUGAAAUGCGUAGAGAUGUGGAGGAACACCAGUGGCGAAGGCGACUCUCUGGUCUGUAACUGACGCUGAGGAGCGAAAGCGUGGGGAGCGAACAGGAUUAGAUACCCUGGUAGUCCACGCCGUAAACGAUGAGUGCUAAGUGUUAGGGGGUUUCCGCCCCUUAGUGCUGCAGCUAACGCAUUAAGCACUCCGCCUGGGGAGUAC